rnacentral:rRNA from 1 species
CAAAAGGUUUGGUCCUGGCCCUUCUAUUAGUUUUUAGUAAACUUAUACAUGCAAGUAUCCCCGCACCAGUGAGAAUGCCCUCUAAAUCAUCCUGUUGAUAAAAAGGAGCGGGUAUCAGGCACACUCCGCAGUAGCCCAUAACACCUUGCUCAACCACACCCCCACGGGAAACAGCAGUAAUAAAAAUUAAGCUAUAAACGAAAGUUUGACUAAGUUAUACUAAACUACCACAAGGGUUGGUAAAUCUCGUGCCAGCCACCGCGGUCAUACGAUUAACCCAAAUUAAUAGAUUUCGGCGUAAAGAGUGUUAAAGAUAAUACAAAAAAUAAAGUUAAACCUUGGCUAAGCUGUAAAAAGCCCCAGCCACUGUAAAAUAAGCUACGAAAGUGACUUUUAAAAUUCUGACACACGAUAGCCAAGACCCAAACUGGGAUUAGAUACCCCACUAUGCUUGGCCCUAAACCUAAAAAAUUCUAUACAACAAAAUUAUUCGCCAGAGAACUACUAGCAAAAGCUUAAAACUCAAAGGACUUGGCGGUGCUUCACACCCCUCUAGAGGAGCCUGUUCUAUAAUCGAUAAACCCCGAUAACCCCCCAGCCCUUGCCAAAUCGCCUAUAUACCGCCUCUCCCGCAAACCCUAAAAAGGCCAAACAGUAAG